CUCCCUUUUCAUUUCAUUAUUUAUUUGCUUGUUUGUUUAUUGACACAAGGUCUUGUUAAGUCACUAAGUUGCUCAGUGUGGGCUUGAACUUGUGAUCCUCCUGCAAAAGCCUCCCAGAUGCUGGGAUUACAGGUGCGUGCAAUUCGCCUUUAAAAGGCACAAUCCAGUGGCUUGGAGUGUAUUCACAGAGAUGUGCAGCCAACAUCAAUACAUUUUAGAAUAUUUUCAUCGCCUUGGAAAGAAGCCCAUACCCUUCAGCAGCCAUCUAGCCCACCCCAAUCCUCCAUUGUCCCCAACCCUGAGCAAUCACUAAUCUACUUUCUAUCUCUAUAAAUUUGCUUUUUCUGGACAAUUCCUAUAAAUGAAAUGGAACAGGCUUGGGUCUUUUAAGUUGAGCUCCUUACCUCUGGCAUGAUAUUCCCAAGGUCCAGCCAUGUUGUAGCAUGUAUGAGGACUUCAUGCCUUUUCUUGCUAUCAGCCUAAUACAUGCAUAGGCAAAUCAUAUUUUGUUUAUCCAUUUACCAAUUGAUAGAUAUAUGGGUUGUUCCCACUCUGGGGCAAUUGUGAACAGUGCAGCUAUGAAUAUUCAUGUAUGUUUUUCCACAGACAUACCUUUCUCUGGGGCAUAGAGUUCAGAGCAGACAUGCUGAGUCAUGCAACAUAAACUCCAACAUCCACAGGUCCAGAGCCCCCUGUGUGUGUCAGGAUGACACCCAAGGGUGUGUCUGUCUUGCCAUGAAAGGGUAUACAGUAAAACGUGGGGUUGGGGAGGGUCUCAGAGGAGAGAACCGGAAGGACAGUGUAGCUCUGCUGUUCUCCAAGGGGUGUUCACUCGUUCAUUCAGCCGUUUGUUACCUACUGCACAAUCCUGUGGCCAGGCAAGAGCUGAACAGUAACCAGCAGGAGAGACCUCCUCCCCCACUCCACUGCCCCAACAAGCAGUGCUGGGGAUUGAAUCCAAAGCCUCACGUGUACUCGGAGGUCUCUGUAUGAACUACAUCCUCAGCUCUUACCCAGAUUUAUAAAAUAAUAUACUUGUGGCUGACACCUCUGAUGCCAAGUUUCUAAGGGAAACAAAAUUCUGCUGUGUGAUUAUAAACUACUAGAGAGAAAAUGAGAAUGCAGAAGCCGCCCAGAAUCAGCUUUCGGCGCCCAGCACCGGAACUGAGGGUUCCCUUUCUGUCUCCAUUGCUGAUAGAUCUGCCAGAAAUCUUGGUGACUGAAAUGUGGAUGGACUGCGUCAAGGCCAACAGGAUGCAAAAGGUUCCAGUUUUGAUAAAACUGAAGAAAAAAAAAAAACUGCUUGGCUUGGCACGCUCCCUCCUGCCAGUCAGGAACUGCAAAGAUGUUUCCAGAGAGCGGCUGAUGAAUUGAGGGAGGAGUGCCCAGGACCAUGCCAGUCGCCUUUCAGGGCUGCACUAACACAAACAAAAUCAAACAACUUGAAACUGCUCCAGGAGAGGGGAUUACGGCAACAUGUUAUUUUGAGUGAUUGCUUAAUUUAUUGAGCUGCGGCGAGAUCUGUAAUGAAAUACAGCCCUACGAACUGAUCACCUCCUACUGUAGUUGGACUUGUGCAAUUAAGGGACAUUUUCCAAGAGUUUCUCUGGAACCACUUGGAAUCUGUAGCCUCCAUCGUGGGGUGCUUCUGGGUGCUCCUGUUCCAGGGAAGCUUUUUUUCUUUGUAUUAAAGGGUGGCAGGUUCUGAUGUUAAAUAAGCAGCUUUUUACUGAGCACUUUGUGUAUAAUGGAUUCUUUAUAUAUAUUAGCUCUAAUUCCUUCAAUUUCCCAGUGAAAUUACCCUUAUUAUUCCCUGUUUUAUAGACAUGAAGCCAUGAGAUGUGAGGAAAUUUCUAGAGUAAUACCCUCUAAGAUAGUAGUUGCUACCCACACGUGACUGUUCAUGUCAAUUGGGUCUAGCUGAUUGUGUUUAAAGUGGAACCUAUGGCCUUGUGGGUGCUGGGCAAGCACUUGACCACUGAGAUGCACACCUAGUACAUCUCUGAAGUUUCCCAUGAGAUUCCAGGGUGCAGCCGGGAUGCAGACUGACUAGAUGAUCCAGUCUCCAGAGGAUAGGAGGGGUGGACCAGUGAUGGCUGCCCUACGGCACACAGGCUGCAGCCAGCUAUUUGUUAUCAUUGAAAGCUCUAAAAAGGUCCAUCAUCAAUGAGCUGGACCAUUUGCCAUCAUUGCCAUGAGAAUAAAAUUUGGGGGACCCAGAAGUGGUCUUCUCCCAGG